rnacentral:tRNA from 1 species
AGCGGGAUGGUGUAACGGCAACAUGCCGGCUUCAUGCGCCGGCGCUGCGGGUUCAAGUCCCGCUCCCGCAA